AGGAUAAACGCUGGCGGCGUGCCUAAUGCAUGCAAGUCGAACGGGUCAGUCGCAAGACUGGUCAGUGGCGGACGGGUGAGGAACACGUACGAGACCUGCCCUCAGGUGGGGAAUAACCCUUCGAAAGGGGGGCUAAUGCCGCAUACGCUUGCGGGGGUAAUACCUGGCAAGGAAAGGCUGCGUUGUAGUGAGGCAGUCGCUGGAGGAGGGGCGUGCGGCCGAUUAGCUGGUUGGUGGGGUAAAGGCCUACCAAGGCUGUGAUCGGUAGCUGGUCUGAGAGGAUGAUCAGCCACACUGGGACUGAGAGACGGCCCAGACUCCUACGGGAGGCAGCAGCAGGGAAUCUUGCGCAAUGGGCGAAAGCCUGACGCAGCAACGCCGCGUGGGUGAGGAAGGCCUUCGGGUCGUAAAGCCCUUUUCGUGGGGGAAGAGCGAGGGACGGUACCCCGAGGAAGAAGCCACGGCUAACUACGUGCCAGCAGCCGCGGU
rnacentral:rRNA from 1 species